CCCAGACGCCUUUGGUGUCACCUUUGACCCUUCCUGGCUCCUUUGUUUCCCCAAAUGUUCUUACCCCCGUCGUCAAGACUGAUAUUAGAAUUAGCUGAAUGCUGAGGUCGUUCCUGUACCACCUAUCUGGACACAUCGCCUCAUCUCCAAGAGCUCUUGCAUACAAUCAGUAAAAGCACUUUUCCAACAACUGGGGUGCAGAGGUGAACAAAAGUCAAAGUUCGUGUUCUCUUGGAGUUUCUAGGGGAAGGAGUCUGCAUAGAUUCUUCUCAACAGACUGUGUGAGUGAUAUAAAGAAUAUGAGCUUGGAGCAUACAGGCCUGGAUUUGAAUUCCGGUUCUGGUACUUAUUGACUGUGUAACCUUGGAGACAUGCCCUGCUCGGUGGGGGAGGAGGAGUGGACCACCACUCCAGUCCCCCAGACCAUCACGGACCUCUUCAGAAAUGGGAACUGGACGAUGGAGAACCCCACCCCACCUGCCAGUGUAGCAGCGACAAAAUCAAGAAGAUGCUGUCUGUGUGUCCCCUGGGGGCUGGGGGGCUGCCUCCUCCACAAGUAUGGUAGGUUUCUCGGGGUGCCAGUGCUUCUCAAUCAUGUCCUCCAAGUCAAAGUUAAGGAUGCCAUCAAGCAAGUGAAAGAACACUUGAAGCUCGGCAAGUAACAUGAACCCUCAGAUUCUCACUGACUUUCUCUUUGCAAGAAGAACAUGUUAGUGGACAUAAUUACAUCCAUCUAUGUCAACUCUGCGAUGUCCUCUGUCCCGGCCAGCUUUGUCAUGUUCCUGACCCAGGGGUGCGUCAGCAAAUAGAAGCACCUGUAGUUCAUCAGCGGAGUGAAGCCCAUCAUUCUACUGGCUCUCCAAUUCUGUCUAGGACAUGGGGACAUGGGUUCGAGCCCUGGUCCGGGAAGAUCCCACAUGCCAUGGAGAAGCUAAGUCCGUGAGACACAACUACUGAACCUGUGCUCUAGAGCUCGCGAGCCACAACUACUGAAGCCUGUGUGCCUAGAGCCCAUGCUCUGCAACAAGAGAAGCCACCGCAAUGAGAAGCCCAUGCACCACAACGAAGGUUAGCCCCCGUUCGCCACAGCUAGAGAAAGCCUGUGCGCAGCAACAAAGACCCAACACAGCCAAAAAAAAUAAAUAAAUAAAGACUAGACCCAAAUUGCAUGACUUCCUAAUACAUGUUCCUUUAUUUUAAAAAAGCAAGAUCAUAAAAAAAGUUGUGUUUAUUAUUGAACAUUUGGGUGAUACAAAGAAAAAAACUAAAAGUAGCAAUAAUGUUAACCACCUAAGGAAAACCUCAAUUAAGUGUAUUUCCUUUAAAAAAUGUGAGGAAAAUCACAUUAGGAUCUUGCUGUAUAUUAUGCUUAGUCUUAGUAAUAGAUUUUAAAAAAUCAACAAUGUGUUCUUUCUAUGGAAAUAACAUUAAUUUUUUAAAUUAAUUUUUAUUGGAGUAUAGUUGCUUUACAAUGUUGUGUUCGUUUCUGCUGUACAGCAACGUGAAUCAGCUAUACGUAUAUAUCCCCUCUUUUUUGGAUUUCCCAUUUAGGUCACCACAGAUCAUUGAGUAGAGUUCCCUGUGCAAUAACAUUAAUUUUUCAUGGCUAUGUGAAUUCCUUCUUAUAGAUAUAACAACAUUUUAUCCCAACCCCUUGUUAUUGACCAAUUAAAUUAUUUCCAAUAUUUCAGUAUUCUAUGAAAUACUGGGGUAAUGUUCUUGUGCAUAGUUUUUUACAAACUUUUUAUAAUUACAGUAUAAUACAUGUUAUCUGUAUAGGAAAAUGCAGAUAAAGUAGGAGGCAUUUCAGUACCAUCCAGAAAUAACCACUUUAAUACUUGGUAUAUCUCUUUCCAUAGUUAUGCAUACAUGUUUCAUUUUAAUAUAUAUUUAUGCAUUUAUAUACACAUAAACAUAAAAAUAUAUGCUUAUGGUUAUAAAUACAUUAUAUGUGACACAUAUCUAUAUAUCUAUUUAUGUAUCACAUGUGUAUUACAUAAAGAAGGUUAUACCACAUUGUUUCCAAAGUUUCCUUACUAUAAAUAAUGCUGACAUAAAUUUCAUUAGAGCAGCAGUACAUGUAUAUCUAUAAUAAGAGCAAUGUUGAUGACAACUUCUACUAACAUUUAUUGCAUGCCUACUACGUGCUGAGCCUGGUUUUACAUUUUGUGUGUAUUAACUCAUUUAGUUUUCAUAAUAACCUUCAGUGGUAGGUUAUUAUUAUCAUCAUUUUAUGGAUGAGGAAACUAAGGCACAGUAAGGUUAAGUAACUCACCCAAGGUGACAGAGUUUUAAGUGGUGGAGCUGGGAUUCAAACCCAGGCAGUCUGGAUCUGAUUAUUUUCUUAACAUAAACUCCUAAAAUUUAAAUUGAGACAACCAAAGACUAUCUUACAUAUAUACACUUACAAAUGUACAGUGUAUAUAUUAUACACUAUCCUCCAGAAGGGAAGUACUGAUUUAUACUCAGCAUAUUAUCAUAUUCCUAGUACACUGAGAACGAAUUUAAGAUUAAAAAGUGUGUGCACACACAUUUCAGUAGUUUUUUUAAAUAAAAAUUCUACACGUCCAUUAUAGUAAAUUAGAGAUUUAAAAAACCUUUAAUGUCAUCAUUCAAAUGUGAUUAUAUAUUUUAUAUCCUUUCAAAUUUCCUUCUUGUAUAACUAAAACCAUUCAUAUUUCCUAGAAUGUUGGCAAAAACAGUUGAAAAAAAUUAGCUUUUUAUUUUAUUGCCAAAUUAUUAAGGGGGGCAAGAUUAAGCCAAUACAACCCUACAUAGUACAACAGUACUUGUUUGUCCCUAACCCCUCUAACACUAUAUCUAUAUAAUAUGUUUUUAUUAGGUAAAAAAUGGCAUCCAAUUAAUGAUUUUUGUGUUUUUUUUUUUGCGGUACGCGGGCCUGUUACUGUUGUGGCCUCUCCCGUUGCGGAGCGCAGCCUCCGGACCCACAGGCUCAGCGGCCAUGGCUCACUGGCCCAGCCGCUCGGUGGCAUGUGGGAUCUUCCCGGACGGGGACACGAACCCGUGUCCCCUGCAUCGGCAGGCGGACCCUCAACCACUGCGCCACCAGGGAAGCCCCAAUUAUUGUUUUAAUCUGCAACUUCUUUAAUAUAUAUUAGUCAUCUGUGUCGUCUUUGCAUACGCUUUUAUUUUUCUUUUUGCUUUUGGAUUUCAUUUAUGUUGUUUUGGGUAUGCACAGAAAUUUGAGCCUUUGUACAAUAAAAUCAUUAGUUCUUUUUUUCUCCUUCAUAGUUUCUUCAUUUGCUUUUGGCUUAGAAAUGUUGUUCUCACAUAUUAUUAAAUAAAUUUAUCUAUAUUGUUUCAGUAAUUCUAUGAAUUCAGAUUUUUAAUUGAUAUUUAUAAUCCAUCUUGAUUUUAUUUUAGUGUAUGGUGUGAGAAAGGCAUCUAAUAAUUGUCAUAAUUUUUCUCCUCUUCAUGUAUUUUCCAACUUGAACAAACAUCUAUUUUUGCACAGUCCAACUUUUUUUUUUACAAUAUAUUAUUAAAAGUUGAAUUUCUGGGCAACGAUCAGCUCAACUCUGGAUAUGUUAGGUUUGAGAUGUCCAUUAGACAUGAAGUGGAGAAUACGAGGAGGCAACUGGGUAUUAUGAGUUUUCAAAUAUUAAAAGUCUUAGUUAUCCUCUCAGAUAAAUUUUACAAGCAUUUUUCGAGUUUGCCACAAAAAAACAAAAAAACCCUCUGAAAUCCUGACUGGAGUAUCUUUCAACUUGAAAAGCUAAAUAUCCCAAAUAGGUGUUUUAUUAAAUAAAUCAAUAUGGUAUACAUACUAUGUAUA